rnacentral:rRNA from 1 species
ACACCGCCCGUCACACCACGAGAGUUUGUAACACCCAAAGUCGGUGCGGCAACCCCUAGGGGAGCCAGCCGCCUAAGGUGGGACGAAUGAUUGGGGUGAAGUCGUAACAAGGUAGCCGUAUCGGAAGGUGCGGCUGGAUCACCUCCUUUC